AAAAAUCCAAAGAAGCUCUGAGAUACUAUGAUCAUAAGGGUGGUUUUCCCAGGGCAAGGCUUAUCCAUCGCACUCCGCAUGUGCUGACCCCCUGCAGUUUCUCCAAAUGUGGGAAACUCGACUGUAUAAUUUGUGGUAGUGAGGGACUGUAUUCGCGCUCUUCCCAC